rnacentral:rRNA from 1 species
CCUACGGGGGGCUGCAGUGAGGAAUAUUGGUCAAUGGCCGGAAGGCUGAACCAGCCAUGCCGCGUGAAGGUCAGUGCCCUAUGGGCGUUAAACUUCUUUUGUGCGGGAGCAAUAAUGGUCACGUGUGGCCAGACGAGAGUACCGUACGAAUAAGCAUCGGCUAACUCCGUGCCAGCAGCCGCGGUAAUACGGGGGAUGCAAGCGUUAUCCGGAUUUAUUGGGUUUAAAGGGUGCGUAGGCUGUGAGGUAAGUCAGCGGUGAAAUGCCCCCGCUCAACGGGGUGAAGUGCCAUUGAUACGGCCUUGCUGGAAUGCGGAUGCCGUGGGAGGAAUGUGUGGUGUAGCGGUGAAAGGCAUAGAUAUCACACAGAACACCGAUUGCGAAGGCAUCUCACGAAUCCGCGAUUGACGCUGAUGCACGAAAGCGUGGGUAUCAAACAGGAUUAGAUACCCGUGUAGUC